UCCGUAGGCGGGCGAUUAAGUCAGAGGUGAAAUCCCACAGCUCAACUGUGGAACUGCCUUUGAUACUGGUUGUCUUGAGUUAUAGUGAAGUAGAUAGAAUGUGUAGUGUAGCGGUGAAAUGCAUAGAUAUUACACAGAAUACCGAUUGCGAAGGCAGUCUACUAACUGUAUACUGACGCUAAUGGACGAAAGCGUGGGGAGCGAACAGGAUUAGAUACCCUGGUAGUCC
rnacentral:rRNA from 1 species